rnacentral:rRNA from 1 species
GAGUUUGAUCCUGGCUCAGAUUGAACGCUGGCGGCAGGCCUAACACAUGCAAGUCGAGCGGAAACGAGUUAUCUGAACCUUCGGGGGACGAUAACGGCGUCGAGCGGCGGACGGGUGAGUAAUGCCUGGGAAAUUGCCCUGAUGUGGGGGAUAACCAUUGGAAACGAUGGCUAAUACCGCAUAAUAGCUUCGGCUCAAAGAGGGGGACCUUCGGGCCUCUCGCGUCAGGAUAUGCCCAGGUGGGAUUAGCUAGUUGGUGAGGUAAGGGCUCACCAAGGCGACGAUCCCUAGCUGGUCUGAGAGGAUGAUCAGCCACACUGGAACUGAGACACGGUCCAGACUCCUACGGGAGGCAGCAGUGGGGAAUAUUGCACAAUGGGCGCAAGCCUGAUGCAGCCAUGCCGCGUGUAUGAAGAAGGCCUUCGGGUUGUAAAGUACUUUCAGCAGUGAGGAAGGUGGUGUACUUAAUACGUGCAUCAUUUGACGUUAGCUGCAGAAGAAGCACCGGCUAACUCCGUGCCAGCAGCCGCGGUAAUACGGAGGGUGCGAGCGUUAAUCGGAAUUACUGGGCGUAAAGCGCAUGCAGGUGGUUUGUUAAGUCAGAUGUGAAAGCCCGGGGCUCAACCUCGGAAUUGCAUUUGAAACUGGCAGACUAGAGUACUGUAGAGGGGGGUAGAAUUUCAGUGUAGCGGUGAAAUGCGUAGAGAUCUGAAAGGAAUACCGGUGGCGAAAGCGGCCCCCUGGACAGAUACUGACACUCAGAUGCGAAAGCGUGGGGAGCAAACAGGAUUAGAUACCCUGGUAGUCCACGCCGUAAACGAUGUCUACUUUGGGAGGUUGUGGCCUUGAGCCGUGGCUUUCGGAGCUAACGCGUUAAGUAGACCGCCCUGGGGGAGUACGGUCGCAAGAUUAAAACUCAAUGAAAUUGACGGGGGCCGCACAAGCGGUGGAGCAUGUGGUUUACUCGAUGCACGCGAAGAACCUUACUACUCUGACAUCCAUAGACUUUCCAGAGAGAUGGAUGGUGCUUCGGGACUAUUGAGAACAGGUGCCUGCAUGCUGUCGUCAGCCUCUGGUUUGGUGAAUGGUUGGGCUAAGGUUCCCGGCCACAGAAGCGCCAACUUAUCCUUGUUGCAGCACUUCGGUGGAACUCUCCAGGGGAGAACACGUCGCGGGUGUUAUAUA